rnacentral:lncRNA from 1 species
CAUAUCGUCAUAAAAGCGAUGCAUCCAAACCUCAGUCUCGUAACCACUCAUGAAUGUUCGUACGCAUACUACGUUUGCUUGGUGCGGUCUGGACGAGAGGAAAUCUGGGACGAUGAACGGGCUAGCAAGGAAAGACACAGACAAUACUGAUUACCGGCCAGCGCAAAACGAAAAGAAAUUGUCGCCACAGAACGAUAACGAAGGUGGCGGACCUUCAUUGGCAGCGGAAGUUUGUGCUGUAUCAAAAAAAUUGCAGAUGAUCUGGCGACCUUUGUCAAGAAAACAGCGCCGUCUAGUGUAUAUGUGAUUAAGUCUUCUAAAUACAACACAGUAUCGAAUAUGAAGAUCGUGGCCUUUAGCGACGUACAGCCGUCAAUCCAUCCCUGCGCUCUGUCUUGCCCGACAACGAACAUUGAGAAUGUCACCCGUUGGAAGCUCAUGUAUUUAAGCUUUGCCUGGGUCUGAAUCGACCGCAGCAUUAUCGAGCGAUUGCGGUUAAAUGAACAUGACGGCGUCUCAGGGGGGCACCGGGUUAACGUCCCCGGGACUUCGGCGCAAAAACCUUCGCUCUUUUUUCAAGGCCAGGCCGAAAAAAAAAGUCGUUGCCAGCACAGUUACAACAUUAGUUUGUGACCCGCGGUCCGUUCAUUUUCAUUCUCUUUCAUUUACCCUACCGCAGCCUGGAUUUGUUGAUGUCGAAGGCACACUCUUGUCUCCUCGGUGCCUCUAACCCCACUUCUUCCAUUGAUGGGAAUUGGGUUCACCCCAUCAGUUAGAAGGUAUGGACAUUAUUGAGUAGUGUAUGGGUAGUGCACUGUUCAUUCGAUGUGUCAGACAUCCGUGCGUCCCUCGACUGGGCGUUUCGACAACUCCGAACAUCGACUAGACACCAUAGACAACGUGAGGCGUUUCUGCGAGAACUGGCAGAGCUGGUAUCCGGUCGUGCAACCACGAAAGACGCAUUCAUCUGCUUAGGUUUCUGAACAGUGUACGAGGUAAGGCCGUUUAUCGAUAAACGUUCGUUCGAUAGCGGGGUGAAUGCAGUGUGAGCACUGCGGAUUACUGGAGCUUCGGUGUCUGAGUCCUGAUCAACGUCAGCAUUCAACAAGAUCUUCCACACAGAGAUAACCACAGAGUGCAGAGCGAAGAAGUGUGUAUACGUCUGCGUGUGUGCGCGCGCGUGUUUAAAAAGCGAACCGACAGCCUCAGAAAUGGUACCGUUAAAGAUUCGUCGAAGCUAUGUGAUGGGGUCCACGACGGAUGGACUGCAUACGAAUGCGGCGACUCGGGGAAAGCAGGAAUCGUUCUUCUCAUAACGAAAAAACAACGGUCUAGGACUAGAGAACGAAAAUCAAACCGAUAUCAGAACGCCAAUAUUCAUCAUCGAUACGUUUGUUCGAGGUUGUCGGACGUAGGUUGUGUGUGCUCUAACCGGUAGAACGAACCCGUUUUGCCACCAUUCUUCCUCGAUCUAGACCGGCGGCAUCGCGCUCGUGUUCCCCUCCUAGCCGGAUGCUUUGUUGUUCGCUAGUAUGACUAGGCAGGCACCCAAGCAACGGAAGAAAAAUGGACAUCAACGGAGACAAUGCCAGAGGGCUAAAACGUACGACGUCUAGUAGAAUGGGUGAAAGCAAGGUGCAGUGAGUGGGCCCCUUCGUGACCCGGUGGAAUCCGCCUUUAUCUAUUUUUGCCUGUCAAUGAAUAGUAAGCCUGCACAGAUCUCGCAUCGAUGGACUGUAUUGUACACUUUGACUGUUUUUCGUUGACGGAUGAGCCAGAAGCAAGUAUCAGUGUCGGAAUAAAACACGAGAAAAGCCGUCGCAACGGUACCCUUGUAUUGCUUACGUUGCAUAGGAGUAUCGCAUAUUGGUGGACCGGAGACACUUUUAAACAAAUGUCGAGAUUAUUGCACGCUUGAGACUUCAAUCCGAGAGCAGUUAAGCAGUUUCAGAUUGAAUGGCCUAUCUAUAUAACAUGAUUCUGGUCCAUCCGAGUCUGUUAAGUCUGCUAACCAUCUCUUGCGGUCGAGCGAAACAAUAAGCUUCAACCCGCGUUUACCAAAGACCACAACGAGUUCUUGGGGCACGUUAUGUAAAACGUACGAGGUCAGUGAUACAGUCACUUUCUUACUAAUCAGCCAGUUAUGAUGCUUCCUAUUUUAAACGAUUGGGUUGGGAUAAAACGUUAACCCUUAAUCACAUCAUUUUAUAUUUUUGUUAUUUAGUAUGAGAUUUUUGGAAGCACGCUUGGUCGUUCUAAAUUUCUCCAAGAAUUAGCGCGAUUACGAAAACCAACAACUCAGAAAAUUUACCGAUAGUGAUUCCUCUAAUCAAGUGCAUAGCUGGCUACACCUAUAAAAUCUGACACUCUGAAAAGACGAGUCAUUAUUGUCUAGUCUACCCGUUAAUCUUAAUUUCUGAAUACCUGAAAAAGCUUAGGUAUCUGUGAUUCCUAUGUAAUAUCCCACCCAGAUCCAGCUUUCACAAGGUCUUUAGCUCUCCGAUUUUAGUAACGCAAUGCUAGGAGCUUCCAACGUCAGAAUCUCCGACAAUAUUGUAUCUGCAUAACUCAUGGAGGGUUUCUGAUUUUUAAAUGUUUCUACCCAUUUAUUCCUUAUUUUAUACCCAUUUUUUAUUAUUAUUAUUUAUUAUUACCCUGCGAGAUAUUCGUUUUUCAUCUCAGCGUCAAGGGUUAAGUUUUCGUGACUGCUUCAUUACCCGUUACAGCAUGCGUUCUGUUGCUAGUUUUCACUGCCUUUUGAAUGCCUUUUAUCUCUUUGUCCACGUUUGUGCUAGAAACUUUGCAGCUCAAAAGGCUUAGGCAGAAAGUCUGCUCUGCUCAACUGAAGCUUUGUCGGGCAGAAAUAAACAAAGAAAAUGGACCGUCUGCUUCCCUUACAAAAAAAAGGAUCAGAAUGAGGAAAAGACAGCAAGUCACCAAGUCUCCACAUAUGAACAGAUACAAUGCCGCAAAAAAGUACGGGAAAUAGAAACCGAUGGGAAGAGGUUCGAUACAAGCAAAACAUUUUCAUAGUGCUGGCUUGCCUGCCUACAGGCUCUUUUCUUGCUUUGUGUAAUUCGUGCAGUAGGCCUCCCAAUACUAACUAGACCACCUACUAGACCUACGCAACCUACUUAUGCUAUCUCAGUGGUUUCUUUUACUCUUCUAUUUAAAAAAAAACUUGCAUUGCAAAUUAGAUUCCGUCAUGGGUCGAGGGUCUGUGUUUUCCUGUUUAGUGUAUUUAAGCCACUCACGCACCAUCCAUAGGGGGUACUUUGUGCUACUGACUUUGCCUCGGCCUUCGACUUCCUAAAGGAGUACGUUAAAGUCUAUAUAGACGGAAGGUAAUCUACACGCGCUACUAUAGGCUUUCCGAACAUACUGUUUCGGUUUUUCGCUUGUACAUGGUAAAGAUGUGAAGAACAAGCCGACGGCGAUGGAUUGCUACCCCUCAAGCCGUGCGAAUCGAUGCAGCCAACGAAAUGUCAGACGACAGAAAGCAGACUAGCAGCUUCACCGGCGACGUCCACGGAUCAGCAAGGUACAUAGCUAAAAAGGAUACAUCGCUGCGGCUGUGGGUGUUUUACAUGGGGGGAAUACACAAUGGGGGA